GGCCGACUAGCUCAGUUGGUUAGAGCGUAGUGCUAAUACCUGCUCUUGGGAACGCUAAGGUCGUCGGUUCGAUCCCGGCGUUGGCCA
rfam:Postia placenta Mad-698-R POSPLscaffold_53_Cont3123, whole genome shotgun sequence.